AUGAAAAGCACUUUGAAAAGAGAGUGAAAAGAACCUGAAACCAUUCUGUGGGAAGCGUAUUGCAUCACAAUGAGAGACGUUUGCAUGUUCAACCUUUCGGGGUGCAUUCAUGUAGAGGUCUAUCUGUCGUGGGCUUGUGGGCAGUCGAUUUUAUUUUGGGCUGCCUCAGGCUGAGGGCUCCGCGAAAGCGUUGAGGACGACAGAGGGACGAUGCGAUUCGACCCGUCUUGAAACACGGACCAAGGAGUCUAGCACAUCUGCGAGUCAAAGGGUGUUUAAACCCCAGGGCGCAGUGAAAGCAAAUUUGUUCCAUAAAACGAGCAGUUUGAGGCGGCAUACGAUCGUUGAUUGUAAGUCUGACCUAGAGCAAAUGUGCUGGGACCCGAAAGAUGGUGAACUAUGCCGGAGUAGGGCGAAGCCAGAGGAAACUCUGGUGGAGGCUCGUAGCGGUGCUGACGUGCAAAUCGCUCGUCCAACUCGGGUAUAGGGGCGAAAGACUAAUCGAACCAUCUAGUAGCUGGUUCCCUCCGAAGUUUCUCUCAGGAUAGCGGGCAGACUGACGUUGUUUUGUGC
rnacentral:rRNA from 1 species